UUCAGUAUCAUAUUGUUGUAGUUAUAUCUAUAAUGAAGCAUAUGGUGUGCACUUUUCUCCUUGUAAGACACUGCGAUCCAUUAGAACCUUGUGUUAAAAACUACCAUGCUGUGAGUUUUUAUAUCUAUCAAUGGGCCCGACAUGGAGCUUACAUAUUUUAUGUUAGUACUAAAUAUUGUUAAGGUGAUAUAUAGGAAAGCAAUGUAAACUGUUGGUGUCUCGCAUAGAUGUCUGAUGGAUUUUAAGCGUUUAUAAUAUGACACCUUGGUGUAACCAGAAAUGGUUUUUUGUAUUAUAUCGUGAUCAGCAGUGUAUUUGUUUAGUAAUCUUCAUGACCCGUCUUGAAACACGGACCAAGAAGUCUAUUUUAUGCGCGAGUCAAUGAGAAUUAUAAACCUCAGAGGCGUAAUUAACAUAACUAUUUUGUUUGGGAUUACAAAUUCUGUAUUAAUAGAGAAUUUCUCCAUCCCUGGGUAUCCAUUAGUCUUGUUUCGUUUUACGACGAUAAUAAGUAGGAUAUACCAUGAGCGCAUAAAAUGUGACCCGAAAGAUGGUGAACUAUGCCUGAUCAGGUUGAAGUCAGGGGAAACCCUGAUGGAAGACCGAAGCAGUUCUGACGUGCAAAUCG
rnacentral:rRNA from 1 species